rnacentral:lncRNA from 1 species
GCUGAUGGGGCUGAGGGCUGAGGGGCUGAGGGGCUGAGGGGGCAGAGGGGCUCAAGGGGCUGAGGGCUGAGGGGCUGGGGGCUGAGGGGCUGAGGGGUUGAGGAGGCUGAGGGCUGAGGGGCUGAGGGCCUGAGGGACUGAGGGCUGAGGGCUGAGGGGCUGAGGAGGCUGAGGGGGCUGAGGGCUGAGGGGUUGAGGGAGCUGAGGGCUGAGGAGCUGAGGGGUUGAAGGCUGAGGGGCUGAGGGCUGAGGGGUUGAAGGGGCUGACGGGCUAAGGGGCUGAAGGGGCUGAGGGAGCUGAGGGCUGAGGAGCUGAGGGGUUGAAGGCUGAGGGGCUGAGGGCUGAGGGGUCUGAGGGCUGAGGGGUUGAAGGGGCUGAGGGGCUGAGAGGCUGAAGGGGCUGAGGGGCUGAAGGAGGCUGAGGCUGGGGUAGGCCUGGAGAUGGGGUGGUCAGCCUGGGGGCUGCAGGGGUCUCCCAAGGCCUCCCUGUGGGUCUUUCGAGGGCACAGGCCCUGCUCCCGGAGGCUGGGAGUUCUGGCCGCAGGGCCUGUCCUUCAGUUACUAGGCUCCAGAGGUCGGUCCCAGCGCCUCAGACACCCACAUCCAGCAGGGACAGGGACAGCUCGCGGCUGGGAUAGCGUCAGCCCUGGGCCACGGCGGCUUGGCACCACAUCCCGUGACAGCUCUGUCUCCAGGCGUGCUCCCCAGCCCUGCCUGAAGAUGAACCCCAAGCCCUCGCCAGUGGCCAGGUAGGAACAAGGCCAGGAGCCCUGUGGAGAGGAGCAGGGGACCACUGCGUGGACGGGGCAGGCUGGGGCACAAAGGGCACUGCUUCCUCUGGAUAGCGCUAACUCCGAGAGCUCGGGCUCCUAUCCCUAGCCGGGGCGCCUGGCCUCCUGCAGUCGGGUCCCCAGCGGGUGAGCCGGGCGCAGGUGGACCUGACCGAGGAGGCGGCCGGAGCCCCUGCGGGUGAGGCGGGAGCGGCGAGCAGGAGGGCUGACUCAGAAGGUUUAUUUGCAGCGCUGGCGGGGCGGACAAUUGGCGGCCUCGGGGU